CCUGGGAAACUGGGUUCUAAUACCGGAUAGGACCCUCCUUUUAGUGUGGGGGGUGGAAAGAUUUUUCGGUGUGGGAUGAGCCCGCGGCCUAUCAGCUUGUUGGUGGGGUAAUGGCCUACCAAGGCGUCGACGGGUAGCCGGCCUGAGAGGGUGGACGGCCACAUUGGGACUGAGAUACGGCCCAGACUCCUACGGGAGGCAGCAGUGGGGAAUAUUGCACAAUGGGCGGAAGCCUGAUGCAGCGACGCCGCGUGGGGGAUGACGGCCUUCGGGUUGUAAACCUCUUUCGACAGGGACGAAGCCUUGUAGGUGACGGUACCUGUAUAAGAAGCACCGGCUAACUACGUGCCAGCAGCCGCGGUAAUACGUAGGGUGCGAGCGUUGUCCGGAAUUACUGGGCGUAAAGAGCUCGUAGGUGGUUUGUCGCGUCGUCUGUGAAAUUCCGGGGCUUAACCUCGGGCGUGCAGGCGAUACGGGCAAUACUUGAGUGCUGUAGGGGAGACUGGAAUUCCUGGUGUAGCGGUGAAAUGCGCAGAUAUCAGGAGGAACACCGAUGGCGAAGGCAGGUCUCUGGGCAGUAACUGACGCUGAGGAGCGAAAGCAUGGGUAGCGAACAGGAUUAGAUACCCUGGUAGUCCAUGCCGUAAACGGUGGGCGCUAGGUGUAGGGGUCUUCCACGACUUCUGUGCCGUAGCUAACGCAUUAAG
rnacentral:rRNA from 1 species